ensembl:lncRNA
AAAGAAAAAGAUUUCUCCCCUCCCAGUAACUAGGGUGCACUUUACAAAAUAAAGGCAUUGUUAAAAUGAAAUCACACUUCAGUAUUGCCAUUUCCAUGUCCAUCUUGAUUUCCUGGGCUGGAAUUUUUCAAGUGGGGGUGAGAGAAGACCUUUUUACUUUGGUGGCAGGGAAGGGAGGCUACUAGAAAUAUAAAGUAUUAUUCCUGUAUUAGCAUGCACUGAAAAGUGCAGGCUGGCUAACUGCUCCUCAGCUUAUAAGAAAAGUGAAUAUAUUUAUCUCCAUAGUUCUGUUGCAGUGUUUCUGUUAGAACAGGAGGUUGUUUCUGGGGUGUGUUGGCUUGCUUUCAGGGCAGUUAACCUGGGAAUAUCCCCUUCCAAUGUAGUAAAAGUCUUGGGACUGUUUCAUAUGCCUGACCAUAGCAAACUAAACUGCCUGCUAAGCCUUAACCUGGCAGCGCAAAGCACAGCAGAGCAAAAAUUGUUUUGAACUUCUUAAAAAAAAAAAAAAAAAAAGAAAAUCAAAAUUAUUUAUUUCUUUAAAGCUUUAUUCUAGAGCAUUUGUGACAAGCAUGUGCCGAUCUGUGCUACAGCAGCCUAGCAAAAUGCUGGUCACCAGGAUUGGGAAAAACCUUUGGCCCUGGGAGGAGGAGGGAGUUUGCGUGUGAGUCCUGCUCUUGGGCAGUGGAGAAGCCCCAUUGCCUGGGGUGGGGUUUGCAGCUUCAGCUUUGAUUGUAAAUCAUGAGCAGUGCUGGAUGGUUAAAACUUAAAUGAGUGUGCCCAAUAUGUGGGAAUAUCCGUACUGAUUUAACCUCAGUAAUUGAACUUGGUUAAUUAGUGCCAGGUCUUGAACAUCCAAGACCCACCUAAAUAUAUGCUGCUAUGGUAUAGACUUCUCAGAGGGAUCUGAAACUCCAAAGACUGACAAAGUGGUAAUGGUCAGCCCUGUUCGAGGACGUACACAGUUUAAAUUGUAAUUUAUGUGCAUUAAAUGGGACUAAAUAUGCUAGCUUAUUUUCCCAGGGACAUUUGUUUGUUAUUUGGAUACAUUCCUUUAACUAUGUUAAAAAGUUCUCCUGACUGAUGGAUUGCAAAUUUUCAUUAAUCCCUUGUAACCUCUUGUCUGUUUGCUAGGAUGGGUACAUGUAGCCAUUUUAAAUUCCAAGAGUUGCUUUUAAUGUUAUUUGGAAGCGGUUUAUAACAAAAAUGUUGAGUCUUUUUUCGUGCAGCCAUUUGGGAAUUACAGCCAACCCCACAGUCUACAGCUUGGCUGUUGACCCAGAAAACUGCAGUGAAGUGGAAGUGCAGAAGUCUGGAGAAGGAUAACAUUAAGUAUCUUGCAUUGGACUCACAAAUUCCAUUUCUUUUCCUUAGAAUUGAAAGGAUCAGCUAAGAAAGAAAAAAAAAAAAAUCUAAAAUGCAUUCAUGUUUUUGCUUUCACUUGUUUCCUUUGUAGUACUUGUGCAAUCUGAGCCAUUCGUAAAAAACAAAAGCAGUGCUGACUUAAUGCACAAGGGCGCAUUUGUAAAAUGUAAAAUUGACUGACGGCCAGAUGUCAACUAUCAUGCACUUCCCCCCCCCUCUUAAUUUUAGUGCAGAGAGAGGGUGGGCAGUGAGUGCUGCCCAGAAUGCAGCCUUAGUCAGUACUUGCGUCUAUUUGCAAAGCCAACUUUGAAGGGGAUAUUCGCAGCAGAGUCAGCGAUACUCUGCAGAAGCACACUUCUGUAACAAUAGAUGAAAAACACCUAUGGCACAACUGUCAACAUACGGCUGGAAAGCUCCACGUCCUCCUGCUCAGACUGAAGCGUCUUCUGCACCCCGCACCGGCUGCUCUUCUCCAGCGGCUGCAGGCAAGGUAGACGAGCAUUCUCUGCAGUGUUGCAACUGGUAACACCUAUUGCUUUUCUUCACAUCAGAGCACAUUCGCUAUGGAUCCAGUCAACUUGCCAUGUUUUUUUAACACGCCAGUCUUGUUUACAGUGUCACAUACAGCCAGGCACUUUGAUACAGCGAGGGAUUGUCUAGGACCCAGCUGCUUUUAUUUGGGCUUAAGGAGACUGUCAAGGCUACUGGUCAAGAAUAUUGCUGUGCUGAUAUGUGCAUCUAAGUGAGUGGAGGCAUGGGACAGAGACAGACUGACAAGGAAAGUGCCUUGAUGCUGGAUUGAAUGGCUAGUGAAUGUAAACAGUAAGUCAAAUGUUAGUAUGUAGUUUAAGUAUGGCUGAUUAAGCUACUGGUAGUUUGAAUGCCAGCUUUAAAAGGCUUGCAUACUCCGGCCAGAAGUUAAACUUGUAAACUGCUGCAUAAGCUGUCUCUGUAUGGAAAUGCGUUUUAAUACCAGUACACUAUGUUAAUUCUUUUGCAAGCUGCAUGUUUAUUGUCAUAUAAAGUCUGCUUUCUACAAUUUACC